rfam:Enterobacter cloacae SCF1, complete genome.
GGUUAAGCGACUAAGCGUACACGGUGGAUGCCCUGGCAGUCAGAGGCGAUGAAGGACGUGCUAAUCUGCGAAAAGCGCCGGCGAGGUGAUAUGAACCUUUGACCCGGCGAUGUCCGAAUGGGGAAACCCAGUGUGUUUCGACACACUAUCAUUAACUGAAUCCAUAGGUUAAUGAGGCGAACCGGGGGAACUGAAACAUCUAAGUACCCCGAGGAAAAGAAAUCAACCGAGAUUCCCCCAGUAGCGGCGAGCGAACGGGGAGGAGCCCAGAGUCUGAAUCAGCGCGUGUGUUAGUGGAACGGUCUGGAAAGUCCGGCGAUACAGGGUGACAGCCCCGUACACGAAAAUGCACACGCUGUGAACUCGAAGAGUAGGGCGGGACACGUGGUAUCCUGUCUGAAUAUGGGGGGACCAUCCUCCAAGGCUAAAUACUCCUGACUGACCGAUAGUGAACCAGUACCGUGAGGGAAAGGCGAAAAGAACCCCGGCGAGGGGAGUGAAAAAGAACCUGAAACCGUGUACGUACAAGCAGUGGGAGCCUCUUUAAUGGGGUGACUGCGUACCUUUUGUAUAAUGGGUCAGCGACUUAUAUUCUGUAGCAAGGUUAACCGAAUAGGGGAGCCGAAGGGAAACCGAGUCUUAACUGGGCGUUAAGUUGCAGGGUAUAGACCCGAAACCCGGUGAUCUAGCCAUGGGCAGGUUGAAGGUUGGGUAACACUAACUGGAGGACCGAACCGACUAAUGUUGAAAAAUUAGCGGAUGACUUGUGGCUGGGGGUGAAAGGCCAAUCAAACCGGGAGAUAGCUGGUUCUCCCCGAAAGCUAUUUAGGUAGCGCCUCGUGAACUCAUCUUCGGGGGUAGAGCACUGUUUCGGCUAGGGGGUCAUCCCGACUUACCAACCCGAUGCAAACUGCGAAUACCGAAGAAUGUUAUCACGGGAGACACACGGCGGGUGCUAACGUCCGUCGUGAAGAGGGAAACAACCCAGACCGCCAGCUAAGGUCCCAAAGUCAUGGUUAAGUGGGAAACGAUGUGGGAAGGCACAGACAGCCAGGAUGUUGGCUUAGAAGCAGCCAUCAUUUAAAGAAAGCGUAAUAGCUCACUGGUCGAGUCGGCCUGCGCGGAAGAUGUAACGGGGCUAAACCAUGCACCGAAGCUGCGGCAGCGACGCUUAGGCGUUGUUGGGUAGGGGAGCGUUCUGUAAGCCGUUGAAGGUGUGCUGUGAGGCAUGCUGGAGGUAUCAGAAGUGCGAAUGCUGACAUAAGUAACGAUAAAGCGGGUGAAAAGCCCGCUCGCCGGAAGACCAAGGGUUCCUGUCCAACGUUAAUCGGGGCAGGGUGAGUCGACCCCUAAGGCGAGGCCGAAAGGCGUAGUCGAUGGGAAACAGGUUAAUAUUCCUGUACUUGGUGUUACUGCGAAGGGGGACGGAGAAGGCUAUGUCAUCCGGGCGACGGUCGUCCCGGUUUAAGCGUGUAGGUGUGUGUUCCAGGCAAAUCCGGAGCACUUUAACACUGAGGCGUGAUGACGAGGCACUACGGUGCUGAAGUGACAGAUGCCCUGCUUCCAGGAAAAGCCUCUAAGCAUCAGGUAACACGAAAUCGUACCCCAAACCGACACAGGUGGUCAGGUAGAGAAUACCAAGGCGCUUGAGAGAACUCGGGUGAAGGAACUAGGCAAAAUGGUAGCCGUAACUUCGGGAGAAGGCACGCUGAUAUGUAGGUGAAGCCCCUGCGGGUGGAGCUGAAAUCAGUCGAAGAUACCAGCUGGCUGCAACUGUUUAUUAAAAACACAGCACUGUGCAAACACGAAAGUGGACGUAUACGGUGUGACGCCUGCCCGGUGCCGGAAGGUUAAUUGAUGGGGUUAUCCGUAAGGAGAAGCUCUUGAUCGAAGCCCCGGUAAACGGCGGCCGUAACUAUAACGGUCCUAAGGUAGCGAAAUUCCUUGUCGGGUAAGUUCCGACCUGCACGAAUGGCGUAAUGAUGGCCAGGCUGUCUCCACCCGAGACUCAGUGAAAUUGAACUCGCUGUGAAGAUGCAGUGUACCCGCGGCAAGACGGAAAGACCCCGUGAACCUUUACUAUAGCUUGACACUGAACAUUGAGCCUUGAUGUGUAGGAUAGGUGGGAGGCUUUGAAGUGUGGACGCCAGUCUGCAUGGAGCCAACCUUGAAAUACCACCCUUUAAUGUUUGAUGUUCUAACGUGGACCCGUAAUCCGGGUUGCGGACAGUGUCUGGUGGGUAGUUUGACUGGGGCGGUCUCCUCCCAAAGAGUAACGGAGGAGCACGAAGGUUGGCUAAUCCUGGUCGGACAUCAGGAGGUUAGUGCAAUGGCAUAAGCCAGCUUGACUGCGAGCGUGACGGCGCGAGCAGGUGCGAAAGCAGGUCAUAGUGAUCCGGUGGUUCUGAAUGGAAGGGCCAUCGCUCAACGGAUAAAAGGUACUCCGGGGAUAACAGGCUGAUACCGCCCAAGAGUUCAUAUCGACGGCGGUGUUUGGCACCUCGAUGUCGGCUCAUCACAUCCUGGGGCUGAAGUAGGUCCCAAGGGUAUGGCUGUUCGCCAUUUAAAGUGGUACGCGAGCUGGGUUUAGAACGUCGUGAGACAGUUCGGUCCCUAUCUGCCGUGGGCGCUGGAGAAUUGAGGGGGGCUGCUCCUAGUACGAGAGGACCGGAGUGGACGCAUCACUGGUGUUCGGGUUGUCAUGCCAAUGGCAUUGCCCGGUAGCUAAAUGCGGAAGAGAUAAGUGCUGAAAGCAUCUAAGCACGAAACUUGCCCCGAGAUGAGUUCUCCCUGAGACUUUAAGUCUCCUGAAGGAACGUUGAAGACGACGACGUUGAUAGGCCGGGUGUGUAAGCGCAGCGAUGCGUUGAGCUAACCGGUACUAAUGAACCGUGAGGCUUAACCUU